UUGGGAUCGUGAUAUACAUAUUGUAUUGAGGGAAGAUUUUAGAACUGAGGAAUUUUGUUUGGUUGCUAUAGAGUAACAUAUUUCAAGUCUGAACAUGUUUGGGAUGAGAAAGUGAAGCCCCAAUCUUACUGUCGAGAACUACAGCCAAAUCAGGAUUACGUACUCCGAUAUGGAAAUAUCCUGUUAAUCAAAGGGAUGAAAUUAGACGAGCUUAUAUUAAGAUGGGGCCAUAUCAGCCUAUUAAGAAUGAGUAUCCACCGACCAAAUUCGGAAGUCAAAAUCGACGAUUUCAAAGUCAUUGGUUUAAAAAAUUUACUUGGUUAGAGUAUUCUCCUUCAAAAGAUGCUGCAUUUUGUUUUCCAUGCUUCUUGUUUGAUCAUAAGCAUCCUCGUAAUCCUGC